UUUGUAAAUUUCCGAAAUGCCCAAAAUUCUCCUUUCACCCGUUUUUAAUUUCUGGAUCUAAGCUUUGACAGAGAUUUUUAUUUUUUUUUCUCUCGAAUGAAUCUAUAUGAUGGAGAAAAGAAAAGGAAAAGCAAGUGAUAAUAAGGAAGAAGAAGAAGAUCCAGUAAUGGAUUAGUGAAAAAAAUAAGAAAAAUAUAUAGAUUCAUCAAAUUGGGAUUUUUUCUAAACUUUUUUAUCUUAUUAUUCAUCUGGAUUUCAAUCUUUAAUGGUGGAAAACGAAGGUUGUCUAUUCAAACGAUAUGAUUUAGUAGACUAAAGUGAUGAUUACCGGUCUUCCUGUUUCCGUUCGUUGUUUUCAUCUGUUCGUGAGGAUAUGCGAGACAUCACAAUGAUUCAUAUUAUUGCUGUUUAGGGGACAUCUUAGUUCUUUAUUAAUUCUAUUUCUGAUGAUUAAGUAGGAAAUCCAACUCCUAAUGGUGGAUAGAUGGAGAAUUAAAAUAAUGAUGUGAAUUUUGUCUGAAAGCAAACUUAAGAAUCAAUUGAUCUCAAGAUGGCUGAGAUUAUCAUUGAAAACAUUGAUGAAUGUAAUCAAAGAAGUUAGCAGCGAGGAAAAUGUUACGCAGGUUUCUCAUGAAUGCAUUUAAUUACAAAUGUGCUAGAAAAUGGUUAAUGGAAUGGAUGAAAGUUUUUUUUUGAAAUCCGAGUGCAAAACAUUAUGUGAACCUAAUAUAUGAAGUUAAUUAUGGAUGAAAUAAGUCUACCGCGGAAGUCAUGAGGAAAUGAAGCAAAGUUAUAGUAUGGGAAAGUCACCGGUGGUUGGAACUAAAUUAGCCUACAUAUGAGGCUGAUUUGGUGGUGGUACAUAGAAAUACGUACUGGGUUCCUACUUGAUACAUAUCGAUGUGUAUUGUAUUUUCACUUUGUACAUGUCUAUAUGUAAUGGUU